rnacentral:rRNA from 1 species
CCUACGGGAGGCAGCAGUGAGGAAUAUUGGUCAAUGGGCGCGAGACUGAACCAGCCAAGUAGCGUGAAGGAUGACUGCACUACGGGUUGUAAACUUCUUUUAUAAAGGAAUAAAGUGAGGCACGUGUGCCUUUUUGUAUGUACUUGAUGAAUAAGGAUCGGCUAACUCCGUGCCAGCAGCCGCGGUAAUACGGAGGAUCCGAGCGUUAUCCGGAUUUAUUGGGUUUAAAGGGAGCGUAGAUGGGUUGUUAAGUCAGUUGUGAAAGUUUGCGGCUCAACCGUAAAAUUGCAAUUGAUACUGGCAGUCUUGAGUACAGUUGAGGUAGGCGGAAUUCGUGGUGUAGCGGUGAAAUGCUUAGAUAUCACGAAGAACUCCGAUUGCGAAGGCAGCUUACUAAACUGCCACUGACAUUGAGGCUCGAAAGUGUGGGUAUCAAACAGGAUUAGAUACCCGAGUAGUC